rnacentral:rRNA from 1 species
AGUGAACGCUGGCGGUAGGCCUAACACAUGCAAGUCGAACGGCAGCACAGUAAGAGCUUGCUCUUACGGGUGGCGAGUGGCGGACGGGUGAGGAAUACAUCGGAAUCUACUUUUUCGUGGGUGAUAACGUAGGGAAACUUACGCUAAUACCGCAUACGACCUACGGGUGAAAGCAGUGGAUCUUCGGACCUUGCGCGAUUGAAUGAGCCGAUGUCGGAUUAGCUAGUUGGCGGGGUAAAGGCCCACCAAGGCGACGAUCCGUAGCUGGUCUGAGAGGAUGAUCAGCCACACUGGAACUGAGACACGGUCCAGACUCCUACGGGAGGCAGCAGUGGGGAAUAUUGGACAAUGGGCGCAAGCCUGAUGCAGCCAUACCGCGUGGGUGAAGAAGGCCUUCGGGUUGUAAAGCCCUUUUGUUGGGAAAGAAAAGCAGCAGGUUAAUACCCCGCUGUUCUGACGGUACCCAAAGAAUAAGCACCGGCUAACUUCGUG